rnacentral:rRNA from 1 species
UACGAAGGGGGCGAGCGUUGUUCGGAUUUACUGGGCGUAAAGGGCGCGUAGGCGGCCCUCUUUGUCGCGUGUGAAAGCCCCGGGCUCAACCUGGGAAUGGCGCGCGAAACGGGGGGGCUUGAGUUCGGGAGAGGAGCGUGGAAUUCCCAGUGUAGAGGUGAAAUUCGUAGAUAUUGGGAAGAACACCGGUGGCGAAGGCGGCGUCCUGGACCAACACUGACACUGAGGAGCGAAAGCCAGGGGAGCAAACGGG